GUAGUAGUAGUAACAAGUGAUAAAAAUAGCAUCACACUCUCACCAUAAAUAAUAAUCUUCGUUUAUUUUCUUUAACCCGGUGUGGCGUCGUGUCUCAUCCCCUUGUUUUGGUCCGUCCGCAUUGUUUACAUACACCGUGCCAAAAUUCGUCCACCCUGUGUAUGCAAACAAAGCUCGGCAGAUCAGGAGCGGACACACAAAAACAAGGGUACGAGACUUGACGCUACAUCGGACCACAUAAAAUUUUGGGGGUGAGCAAGAAUUGAUAAAAGUGGAGAGCAGGGCAGCUAGUAAACAUAUGAUGAUGAUGAUGAUGAUGAUGAUGAUGAGUAAAAGUAUAUUUGUGGACCAAAGAAAGGUGUCUAGUUCUUGUAAAAAUGAUGUGUAAUAAUGUGUGGGCCAAAGAAAGGUGUCCAGUUCUUGUAAAAAUGUGUAAUAAUGUGUGGGCCAAAGAAAGGUGUCCAGUUCCUGUAAAAAUGUGUAAUAAUGUGUGGACCAAAGAAAGGUGUCCAGUUCCUGUAAAAAUGUGUAAUAAUGUGUGGACCAAAGAAAGGUGUCCAGUUCUUGUAAAAAUGUGUAAUAAUGUGUGGGCCAAAGAAAGGUGUCCAGUUCUUGUAAAAAUGUGUAAUAAUGUGUGGGCCAAAGAAAGGUGUCCAGUUCUUGUAAAAAUGAUGUGUAAUAAUGUGUGGACCAAAGAAAGGUGUCCAGUUCUUGUAAAAAUGUGUGAUAAUGUGUGGGCCAAAGAAAGGUGUCCAGUUCCUGUAAAAAUGUGUGAUAAUGUGUGGGCCAAAGAAAGGUGUCCAGUUCCUGUAAAAAUGUGUAAUAAUGUGUGGGCCAAAGAAAGGUGUCCAGUUCCUGUAAAAAUGUGUAAUAAUGUGUGGGCCAAAGAAAGGUGUCCAGUUCCUGUAAAAAUGUGUAAUAAUGUGUGGACCAAAGAAAGGUGUCCAGUUCUUGUAAAAAUGUGUAAUAAUGUGUGGACCAAAGAAAGGUGUCCAGUUCCUGUAAAAAUGUGUAAUAAUGUGUGGGCCAAAGAAAGGUGUCCAGUUCCUGUAAAAAUGUGUAAUAAUGUAUGGGCCAAAGAAAGGUGUCUAGUUCUGGUAAAAAUGAUGUGUAAUAAUGUGUGGACCAUCUUUUUUUUUUAUUAUUUCGCUUAAACUUGUCUCCUUAGCCUAAUAAAAAAAAAUUAAGGGGAUGAUACCAAGCCACCACCACCACCACCACCACCUCACCCCCCCCCCCCCCAAAAAAAAAAAAAAGAGAAAACCACCCACAUGCAACGGGGGACUCUAGUAAAAUAAUCUUCCACCAGCUUACGACAUAUCAAAACCUUUUCCUUUAUUACCUUCCUUACAUAUACCUUUAAUUUACCACAUUCAUUUAUUUAUUCAUCUUUCUACAUACUGUUAAACCACUCUGUUAGUAGUAGCAGUAAUAGCAGCAGCAGCAGCAGCAGCAGUAGCAGUGUACCAGCAUUACCAACAGCAUUUAGUGGUGUAAGUAGUGGCACUGACAUAAGUAGUAGUAGUAAUAGUAGUAGUAGUAGUAGUAGUAGUAGUAGUAGUAGUAGUAGUAGUGAUAGUAGUAUUAGCAGCAGAAGCAGUGGUAGUAGUAGCAGCAAGAUUAGUAGUGCUCGAAAGUUGUUAGUAGUAGUAGUAGUAGUAGUAGUAGUAGUAGUAGUAGUAGUAGAAGCAGUAGUAGUAGUAGUGAUAGUAACUAGAUUUUAACAGGCAAAAACUAACCCACCACCUGAGCAUAUGCACACACACACACACACACAAAUUAAUAGUAAGAGAAGGAGGAUGAGAAAUAGCAAUAAGGUUACACGGGUAGGGAGGGACUGGUUUGGGUUAAGAUUCGUUUUAGUACCGUGCCAGUAUCUCAUUACCUAC